UACGUAGGGUGCGAGCGUUAAUCGGAAUUACUGGGCGUAAAGCGUGCGCAGGCGGCGCGUUAAGACAGGUGUGAAAGCCCCGAGCUUAACUUGGGAAUUGCGCUUGUGACUGGCGUGCUGGAGUGUGGCAGAGGGAGGUGGAAUUCCACGUGUAGCAGUGAAAUGCGUAGAGAUGUGGAGGAACACCGAUGGCGAAGGCAGCCUCCUGGGCCAGCACUGACGCUCAUGCACGAAAGCGUGGGGGCAAACAGG
rnacentral:rRNA from 1 species